rnacentral:rRNA from 1 species
UACGAGCACCCCGAGUGGUCGGGACGAUUAUUGGGCCUAAAGCAUCCGUAGCCGGUCCUGCAAGUCUUCCGUUAAAUCCAGCUGCUCAACAGAUGGGCUGCGGGGGAUACUACAGGGCUAGGAGGCGGGAGAGGCAAGCGGUACUUUAUGGGUAGGGGUAAAAUCCGUUGAUCCAUAGAAGACCACCAGUGGCGAAGGCGGCUUGCCAGAACGCGCUCGACGGUGAGGGAUGAAAGCUGGGGGAGCAAACAGG